CCUACGGGAGGCAGCAGUAGGGAAUCUUCCACAAUGGGCGAAAGCCUGAUGGAGCAACGCCGCGUGGGUGAAGAAGGUCUUCGGAUCGUAAAACUCUGUUGUUAGAGAAGAAAGUGCGUGAGAGUAACUGUUCACGUUUCGACGGUAUCUAACCAGAAAGCCACGGCUAACUACGUGCCAGCAGCCGCGGUAAUACGUAGGUGGCAAGCGUUAUCCGGAUUUAUUGGGCGUAAAGGGAACGCAGGCGGUCUUUUAAGUCUGAUGUGAAAGCCUUCGGCUUAACCGGAGUAGUGCAUUGGAAACUGGGAGACUUGAGUGCAGAAGAGGAGAGUGGAACUCCAUGUGUAGCGGUGAAAUGCGUAGAUAUAUGGAAGAACACCAGUGGCGAAAGCGGCUCUCUGGUCUGUAACUGACGCUGAGGUUCGAAAGCGUGGGUAGCAAACAGGAUUAGAUACCCUUGUAGUC
rnacentral:rRNA from 1 species